rnacentral:rRNA from 1 species
ACACAUGCAAGUCGAACGGCAGCGCGGACUUCGGUCUGGCGGCGAGUGGCGAACGGGUGAGUAAUGCAUCGGAACGUACCUUUCAGUGGGGGAUAACGUAGCGAAAGUUACGCUAAUACCGCAUAUUCUGUGAGCAGGAAAGCAGGGGAUCGCAAGACCUUGCGCUGAUGGAGCGGCCGAUGUCAGAUUAGCUAGUUGGUGGGGUAAAGGCUCACCAAGGCGACGAUCUGUAGCGGGUCUUAGAGGAUGAUCCGCCACACUGGAACUGAGACACGGUCCAGACUCCUACGGGAGGCAGCAGUGGGGAAUUUUGGACAAUGGGCGCAAGCCUGAUCCAGCCAUGCCGCGUGAGUGAAGAAGGCCUUCGGGUUGUAAAGCUCUUUCGGCCGGGAAAAAAUCGCUUGGGUUAAUACCCUGAGUGGAUGAUGGUACCGGAAUAAGAAGCACCGGCUAACUACGUGCCAGCAGCCGCGGUAAUACGUAGGGUGCGAGCGUUAAUCGGAAUUACUGGGCGUAAAGCGUGCGCAGGCGGUUUUGUAAGACAGGCGUGAAAUCCCCGGGCUCAACCUGGGAACUGCGUUUGUGACUGCAAGGCUAGAGUAUGGCAGAGGGGGGUGGAAUUCCACGUGUAGCAGUGAAAUGCGUAGAGAUGUGGAGGAACACCAAUGGCGAAGGCAGCCCCCUGGGCCAAUACUGACGCUCAUGCACGAAAGCGUGGGGAGCAAACAGGAUUAGAUACCCUGGUAGUCCACGCCCUAAACGAUGUCAACUAGGUGUUGGGUGGGUAAAACCAUUUGGUACCUAGCUAACGCGUGAAGUUGACCGCCUGGGGAGUACGGCCGCAAGGUUAAAACUCAAAGGAAUUGACGGGGACCCGCACAAGCGGUGGAUGAUGUGGAUUAAUUCGAUGCAACGCGAAAAACCUUACCUACCCUUGACAUGCCAGGAACUUGCCAGAGAUGGCUUGGUGCCCGAAAGGGAGCCUGGACACAGGUGCUGCAUGGCUGUCGUCAGCUCGUGUCGUGAGAUGUUGGGCUAAGUCCCGCAACGAGCGCAACCCUUGUCGUUAAUUGCCAUCAUUAGUUGGGCACUUUAACGAGACUGCCGGUGACAAACCGGAGGAAGGUGGGGAUGACGUCAAGUCCUCAUGGCCCUUAUGGGUAGGGCUUCACACGUCAUACAAUGGUCGGUACAAAGGGUUGCCAAGCCGCGAGGCGGAGCCAAUCCCAGAAAGCCGAUCGUAGUCCGGAUCGCAGGCUGCAACUCGCCUGCGUGAAGUCGGAAUCGCUAGUAAUCGUGGAUCAGCAUGUCACGGUGAAUACGUUCCCGGGUCUUGUACACACCGCCCGUCACACCAUGGGAGCGGGUUCCGCCAGAAGUAGGUAGCCUAACCGCAAGGAGGGCGCUUACCA